GGGGGAGAAGAAGAAGAAGAAAAAAGAUUGGCAACAGUUAGCACAGGUGCCGAUCUUAAAAAAAGAAAAAGUAGACAAUGACCAAAAAUACCCUACUAAUACUGUGAAAAAUAUCUGUGUGAACCAGGCCAGACCACAAAGACUGGGCCAGGCUGGAGGACUGGAGAGACCGACCAGCCAGACUUGGCUAACGCAACUUCCUCCUUGGUUCUCUGUUGCCUUGGCUAGCACGCAAUGUGAGGAGAUGGAGAUGUAUGGUGGGGCAGGUAGCGGAGUCUCCCUGGUACACUCUCAGACUCCAGUGAUUUGGGUAGCUUCUGGAGGUUUCCAUGAAGCAGCUGAGGACAAGGCCUACUUCAGGAUGAAACUGCCGUGUAGAAUCUAAAGGGUUUUCUUGUUAUUAAGGCUAUUACUACUUCUAGUGCCAGGAUCUGUACUAUGCCAGAUAUUUUUGCAUACUUCAUUAUAUUUGAUCAACAUGACAAAGAUGGAAAGUAGGUAUAAUUAUCCUCAUUUUACAGAGUGGUACUGACAGAAAGGUUAAGUAACUUGUCCAAGGCCCCCAAAUCAGGGUUAUUUCAUUCCCAAGUGUAUUAAUUUCAAGUUACAGUUAUUAUUAAACUUUCAUACUCCUCAAGGCAGGAUCUGUGUCACGUAACUAUUUAUCCCUGUACUGCCUUGCAUGUGAGGUUCUUAGUACAGAUUUUUUGGUGAAAUGAAUGGGUAGAUAACAACCUGUUUUAUAGGUUAUGGUUGAAAAUUGAGGGACUCUGUGAGACUCUUGGAAAGUAAUUAAGAUCUUCGAGAAGACGAAGGUAGAGACCUGCUUGGCGGGCUAGUCCUGAAUUGAACUUCAAAGUUGGGAUGCAGAGGUAAGGAGGAUGUUUGGGAAUAUUCAGUAAUUUAUACUUACAUAAGAAACUUUAUAAAGAGAAUGAGUACAGAAUGAUCUUUAUCUGAGAGGUAAUAUGACGACCAGGAAAAACAGCAUAAGUCAAAAGCCAAAAAGAAGUCAGGAUGAUACUAAACCAGUGUUUCCCAAAGUGUGUUCUAGGGAACCAUAUACCUAAGAAACACUAUCUUGCAUGAUACUUGUCCAAAAGAAGAUCGUAAAAUUAAAUGCAGAUGGAAACACCAUAUAGUAAUACUCUCAUGGUGUAUAUUAGCACAUUAAAAGCUGAGAGUUCCUAUAAAUGAAAAAAACUAACAAUAACAAAGCUCUUUUUUACGUUACCAGCAUUCCCAAACGUAUUUAACACAUAUCCUCUCCCACUAUCCCUCCACACUUCACCGUCUAUUGUCUUACCAAAGAACUAAUGGUUAUCAGAGCCCACUGAGAAACACUAAGAAGGAAAUUGAGUAGUAAUUUGAAAAAAAUUCCUUUUUUCUUCUUUUCAUGCCUUCUCAUCCAGUAUUCAAAUAAUUUUGUAUUUUUUUCAUGGAGGUUAGUCUAUUUCAUUUACUCACUCAAUAAAUGAUUACCAAAUAACUGUAAAGCAUAAGACAUGGUGGUACACACUCUAAAUUAGUAAAUCUUUGAUUUCUCUGGUCCUCAUGAGGAAGGGAAAGAAAGGGAUGGGGAGAGAUGCACAGGAAUAUUGAGAACCAUGUUAGUCAGGACGGUCCCAUCUUCUCCAGCCCUCAGAAGUUAAUAAUACCCAAAUAACAAUAGUCUAAGUCUGUAUUCUACUAUCAAGGAUUUCAAUGUUUUAUUAGGUUUUCUUCCUCAAGUAAUUUUUGAGAAACCUUAAGGAAACUUUUCCUCAAAUCCUCCCAUUCUAGCCAGGCACUUCUAUAGUCCCUGGCUCUGGAACAAUGCUCCACUCCUACUGGUCCCUCCUUGCUAUCUUGUUGCUUCUCCAAGCUGUCAUCUUUCCAUUUCUUCCCAAGGACAAAUAAAAAUGUUUAGGUAUAAGACAAUUAAAUCUAGAUUUAGGGAAAAAAAUGCUGCAGGUCAAGAAUUCUGCUAAUUAUACUCAAUUUAUAUGUCCAAAUAGAAUAUUUAACAUCUCAGUCUGAAGCAUUUGCAUAUAGAUAUAUAGAUGUGUAAUGAGGGAAGUGGUUGGUGCCUUAGCAUUUGCAUUAUUAAUAGGUUCAUCAAAAUAUUACUUUCAAAAUUAAAGGACAGUCUGCACCCUAAAACCCUAAAACACAGAAGUUGAUUGCAAGCCUCCAAAUGACAGUUUUGCAUCUUGAGGAAAUUUAAGAUCUUGUUUCCACCAGGUAUAGACGGGGCAAUGUAAAUAUUUUGGAUCAAAGAGAAUUUCUAUACAAGUGAUGCGGUUCCUGAGUUUUGCUUACAUAUUCGGAAACAAUAAUGAUCAAUUUGGCCAAGCUGGAGUCAAAUAGAUACUAAAAGAGCAGUCAAAGAGAUCCUUGGUAGAGAAACUGUGGGAUAAUCUGAUGAUUGAGUCUCCCUCUCUUGAAGGAGCUAUGAAGAAGAAAAGAGAUUGUGGAUAAUUUCAUAUUUUUAUAUGUGUAUAUAUGUAUUUGCCCAUAUGUCAGAUGACUAGUGAGUUCCUGUGGGUGAAGAGGAAGGUCAGAGAUGCCAGCUACUGGUCAGGUUCAGCCUGCAUUCCUCUCUAAACCGUGCCGUGUAUUUAUCAUGUCGCUUUCAGCUAAGGUCUUUCUCUGGAGCAGCUUCUCAUUUCCAGGGUCAAUUGCUCAUAAAGCUAUGGGCUGCUUGAAGAAAGCACAAAUAAUGUAGAGAGUAAACUAAAAUUAGAGCAAAUGAGAUGGCCUUUGCCAAUGGCGGCUCCCUCUCCUUCCUGUUUUUUUCUGGCUGCCCUUUAUUUAGUAUGCUUUGUGCGUGCACCAGCCGCUGCGUUAAGCACUCUACCAGGGUUACCUAUCUUGUUUAAUCCCCAUGACGUGGACACUGUGCCUGUUCCUUUCUCUGAGUUGGUUGGCAGAAGCAAAUGUGUAUCAGCUAUCUCAAUGCAUCCACGUCUGUUGCCAAACGAGUGAGAGGCUUUGGUGUUUGACAAAUAUGAGGACAACAAGUGACUAUUUCCGCUAUCGCUUGGAGAAGACUCAGCUAACCCCCGUCACUCUGUUCCAUAUUCCGCUUUAUUUUUCUUCUGAGCCUAUUAUUUAUUGGUUUAUCUAUUUGCUUAUUGUUGGUCUCCCACCACUAGAAUGAAGCUCCAUUGGAUUGGGACUGUAUCUGUUUUGUUAGAAUGAGGCCUGGAACAUAGUAGGUGGUCAAUAAAUAUUUACUACUGAAUGAAAAAGGAGAAAUGAGCUUUCAUGGGUGUGGGUCCAAUGACCUUUGGUCUGUUUUAAGAACUUUUUGAUAAAGAGUGAUAGACACUGGUACAGGUAAGGGGCAAGUUGCACAGUCUAAGGGAGCAGGUAUAGGUGUCAAUUGGAAGCUCAUAGAACAUGGAGUGGUGAUGAGGAAAUGCCAAGAAAAAGAAUGAAAAAGGAAAAGAUGGGAAGGGAUUCAUUCACAAUUGCUCCAUUUAUCAACAUGUGUUGGGUGUUUUCUCUGUCCCGGUACCUAACAGAGGACACGUGCUUGGCUAGAAAGUGAUAAAAUGUAAAGAGGGAGCAAAGGGAGGCCAGGAGCUGAAGAAGUUUAGAGGAAGAAAGAGGCCCAAAGAAGUCUCUCUGUGAGAUAUUUGUUAGGGCCUGGCCUCCUCUCGGAAGCAUCUGUGGGAGUGAUUUGUGGUAUGUGUUAGGGAAAAGGAUUACAAGAAGUUUCACACUAGCGAGACCUGCAGAGAAUUUGACUCCAUUGCCAAGUUUUCAGAGUCAAAGAGGGCAAAGCUAAUGUUUUCUACUGAUGCAGCUCUUCAAAUGUCACCCAGAAAAGGAGAGCAGCUUCCAUAAAGAAAAAGAGAACAAACUAACAAUUAUGUAAAAACUAGCUCCCUGAGGGUGAAUUUCUUGAAAGUGGCAAGUUUAGAAAACCUGAGAGAACAAAGAAACAAAACAAAUUAUCUCGGGCUUGGCGGCUGUGGAUGGUGGAGUUGGGUUCUGUGUACAACAGAACACAACAGUUGAACCGGACUCUGUCAGUGAAUCACUGUGUUCCCUGUCAGAGAUGAAUUUGUCAGAGAGCCAUUCAAAGGGUUCAGAAUCCUAAGGGUCCCAGGAAGCCUGUGCCCACCCCUCCUUCUUUGUCUCAAAGCCCCUCUUCCACUGUUGACUUGGGGACUGCACUCCCGUGUCUGUGACAGGGUGUGGCUAGCUCCGGAGGCUGGAAUCAGAGGAGACAUUCCUGACUCCCACACACACACUGUUGCUUUCCCUUCUUUCGGUGUCGGAACUCUGGGGGACCGAAUCCCAGGCUGGCAUUUCUGGCCUUUCUCGAAACUCUCUGUCUGUUCUAACAAAUAAUAUCCCUGUUAUGUAAGUGAUAUAAGUCAAGCCAGGAACAUGCCGCCCAGGGAAGGAGUAUAAUUUUUGUUUUGAUUUCUUCUUUUCUUUUGGCAAAAACUUGUUGUUCCCAUCCCUGCUAGGGCAGAAAUCAAGUCCAACUUGGUGUAUGUGGAGGGGACCGUUCUGCUUGACUGCACUUUAGCCUGGUGCCUGGUCCAGAUGCCCCGCUCGUUAUAGAGAAGCUGCCGUGGGAAAGCACAGUGUAGCUGGGCCUGGGCUUGCACAGAUGCGGUGCUCCGGCCCCCACCUGGGCUCCCACAGAGCUUCAGCCGGGGCCAGGUCUCCUUAGCUGCCUGGAUUGCAGACUGAUAAGACCUCGCUGGCUCACACAGUGCACAGGGCCCUGUCUGAGUUAGGGGCGGGUCUGAAUUGAGGGAAUACUAUUUGCCUAGUAGAAGUUAUAUGUGUCAUUAAAGAGAUUGUGAAAUUUGUAUCAUCUGUGGGAUUAUCAUUCUCCCAGCUACCCAGGCUGGAAAAAUUAGAAUCACUUUUAAAUUUUUUCCUUCCCUUUAUGCCCUAGAUAGAAGCAGUCACCAAGCCCAGCAUUGAAAACCAUCCCUCUCAGUGACUGCCUUCCUUUUGGGCCCUGCCGUCUCCAUGGCGUGGGUCAUCAUUGGGGAGGCAGCCGGAGGGAGGUGAGCACGGACUCUGAAGAAGGACGCUCUGGGUGUGCAUUCUGGCUCUGUCACGUGACUUGGACAAGCUAACCUUUCUGUCCCUCAAGUUAUUCUUAUAAAACUAUUGAUAUUACGUCUUACUUUGCAGGGCUAUUAUGAGAAUUAAAUGAAAUAAUAUUUAUAAAAAUGCAGGUGACUAAACAGUGUGGUCCCAAUUGAUUUUAUUUGAUGUGAUGAUCAGUAGAAAAAAGUCUAUAAGGAUGUGUACCAAAAUGUUAACGAUGUUUUUAUAUUGAGGUGAGAUUUAUGGGCUUGUUUUUUUUUUUAACUUGUAUCUCCCCAAUCAUUUUAUCAAAAUGUCUAGGUGUUAUUCUGACAGAAAUAGAAAGUCCACUUUCCCCAAGAAUGGCAUUCAUAUAUUCAUAGGCUUUCUCUAUUUAUGAUUUUCAAUAAAGUUUAUGGACAAAACAUUUUUCAAGAAUAUUGUUGAGAAUAAGCUGAAGGUGAUAUCUCAGUUGUUAUUCUGAAAACCCUUUGUCCAUUUUGACCUUUGUGCCCCACUGACGACAUCUACCACAUCCAGAGGUGGUUCAGAUGGCAACUGACUCAGUAGGGUGCUUCAGGAGGAUGGUGAGGGAACACUUAAAGACGCUUAGGUGCGUGUGGUGGGCAUGGAGACGUGCUGUCAAAGUCGAGGGUGGAUUUGUUGCUCUAGGUGCUUGGAGUGUUGUCAGUAAACCGCCUCUAGCAGUCAGCUCCUUAGGGAGCUGCCUUGCCCAAGGUCAGCCAUUUUGGGGGUGGCCCACUUCCAAUGACUGAUCCAGGCAGAGUAUAAAAGCCCAGCGAUUUCGGCCAAUUCAGGACACCUCUGAGGGGCUAUUUGCUCUGACUGUGGGAUCGGCCAGGCCUGCUGGACCUGUAUUGCAGCCUGUCUUCUCCCUGUGCCCACUCCUGCUUCCUUCCUCCCCCUUCCAGAGGUGUAGGUCCCAGGGGCUUUCCCUCUUUAACAUCCUGAAGCCUAAAUGCCUUCUCAGAGUCUAGUUGUUGGAGAGCUCAAACUACAACAAUUGGAUCUAGCUAUGCUUUCUUUUGGAGCAGGGGUCAGUAAACUUUUCUGUAAAGGGCCAGACAGUAAAUAUUUUAGGCCCUACAGUCCAACUCUGCCUUUAUAGCAUGAAAGCAGCCAUGGAUAAUAUGUGGAGGAGUGAGCAUGGCUAUGUUCCAAUAAAACUUUAUUUACCAAAAUAAACACUCAGCUGGAUUUGGCCUUUGGGUAUAGUUUGCUAAAGAAUUACUGAUUACUGACAAUUACUAAUUAAUUUCAGAGAACUGGAAAAUUCUGGAGAAUUCCAGAUUAAUUUCUUCGUGCCUGAGAUUGCAUAAAUUACAAAGCAGCUCAUUAUUAUUCUCAUGAAUGCUGGAUAAAGCCAGUAAGACAGACUCCUACCAGAGCUAGUAGUGCACAGAUUCACGAUCUAAUGCUAGAAGGUGUCUUCUGCCCUGGGCAGAGUUAUUUCCCUUUAGCCUGGUUCCUCAGCACCUUUGGCAUCCCCGUCCCAGGAUCCAUGGAGAUGGAGAAAGAGGACUCCCCAAGGGAAGAAUGAAGGAGGGAAGUGGCCAAGGCCCCUGCCAGGACCUUUGCGUGUGUUAUUUCACUCCAGCCUCACCACCUGUGUCACCCCCGUAUUACAGAGGAAGAAAUGGUCUCAGAGAAGGUAAGGAACAUGGUUUUCAGAACUUGUAAACAGUGGAGCUGAUUUCAAACCCAGGCGUGUCUGACUUGAAAGCUGUUGCCCUUUCUGCUACCCCAGGCUGACCUGUCGGGCUUGGCCUCACUUUGGAGACACUUCCUCUUUAAACCCUGAUCAUUUCUUCCCAAGAGGGCUUGGCACAAGGAGUUGGAUCCUGGACCAACUCCACGGCUGUGUUCCUGGGGUUUGUUGCAGACUGAGUUUCCACGUUCUUGCCAUUACCCAGCUCUGGGCUAUGGUAUCAGAUGAGCCGCGGCUUUUGGCUCCCUGAGCCUGGCCGAAUGGCGCUGGCUGUGGUGCAGUCUACUUUCUGUCCUUGCAGGUAUGAGUGUGGUGGGAGCUCAGCACCAAACCCUAUCACCUUCCUUCUGUCAGGCAGCUGUCAUCACCCCCACAGGCCUUUUCUUCACAGCUUGUUGUCAGGAGGCUGGCCAACAUCUUGGGAAGGUGAGAGAGGAAAUUGGGAGGCUGGGGCUGGAGGGAAUCCUGCCACCAGCGUUCUCUCUUCCCCUAGGUCUGAUGGAAAUAACACUGCUCCGGCACCCGGAGACCUGGCUGUGGCCCAGCCUCAGCUGCACGUCAGCGGCAUGGCCCUGGAGACGACCCUGUGGGAGGCGACUGUCUGCUACGGCGGAAGCCCGGGACACCCCUUCCUCGGGGAGCCUUUCCUUUCUCCUCUGGUGGCGAGGCUGAUGCCUCCUCCCUGACUUGGUGAGGACUGAGUGAAGUGGGAUAUGUGCUGUGCCUUGGAAACCGUCAAAUACUACCUAAAGGACUCAUCUUCAUGAAAUCUUUUCAAAGCGUCUACUUAGAAUAAAAACAGCCACCUUCUUUUUGCAAUCGUAUUUCUUGAGUUUACAUGAUAUCUAAUUAAAUUCUACGAUUAAGCUAACAUUCAAGCUGGCGUAAACAGCUUUGGGGACAGUACAGUGGACCCUAGAUGAGCAGACGCUUCCUCUGGCCUUCACAGUGGGAAUGAUACACUCUACUGGUCAACAGAGAUCUACCAAUACAUUUCCAAGUAAAUUCUGAACUCCGUGCUCCUGAAGUUUCUGUAGGAAAGAACGGCCUGUUGGGAGGUGACUCAGAAGACAGAAAUGGUUGAAAGGCUGGCUGUCUUGCUUGAGGAGUUGCUCAGAACACUGAGGUUCUCUUCUGUGGGAGAAUCAGUGCUGGGGUGACAGUCUCAUUAGAAACAGGGAUCCCUCACGAUGUACGAAUCCACGCAGCCCAGACUUCAGGAGACCUUCCUGACUUGCACGCCGGCACCCAGCAGAGAUGACCGGCAGCCCCACCCUCACACCGGCCUUGUGUUGUGUGCUGGUCUGCUGACCUUCAGUGACUGAGGGGUUCUCUCUGUGAAAUCCCUACGCGCUAAAACUCUGUUUCAGGAAGAUGGAUUUCCAUGAUCGUUCUCAGGAUUAACUGUUGUGGUUUGUGAUUUUUCCCUUGAGCUUUUGGAAAUAGCAAGUCUGAUGACAAACCUCAGAAGGGCAUGUUGGCUUUCUGUUAACUGAUUGCUUGCAGAGGAUCUGAGGGACAUUCCUGCUGGGCUCCUGGCUCGGGUCCACCCUGGCUGCAUUUUCCCUUCUGGACACUUCUGGCCCUGGAAGCACAUACAGCGUCACCAUGGUGACUCUGGGACAGACGCUUGCUGUGAAAAGAGCAGGGGAUAAAGUCCCUCCUCUGAAGCUUUCUUAGGAGGGACGGAGGCCUUUGAAAGCUUUCAGAAUCACCCCGUUUCAUCUCCGGGCUUUGACACAGAGGCAGCCUCCUCAGUCGUCAACAUAGAAUCCGUCCCCUUUACUUUUGCUUUGCUGGUGAAAGUGAAUGAAAGCAGUCGAAGAUCUGAAGAAGACUCUCCAGGAUGACCAGCCUCACACCCCAAAGCCCCUCCUUAGGAUGGUUAGCCGGUCGACAGGUGGGAGGCGGCACUGAUGGUGAUCAGGGCUCUCCACCCUGGACUGUUAAGCUCCCUGUUCUCGCACCGAGACUUCUCACUUCUCUCUGUGAGUUUCUGUUGUGGGCCCUCCUGUCUCUGUUCCCACCCUAGCUCAGGCUGUCACUUCCUCGUGUCUGCGUCUUUGUGGCAGAAUCCCAUCUCUCCUUGCUUCUGAUCCCUCUGUCCACCCCCCUCCCCAGCCUCUGGCUGUCCUGUGUACUGUGGAAGACUAAUCUUUCCAGGGUCAUUCUUGAGGGAUCUCAUUAUGGCCCUGUCACGCUGGGUUCUGGUUCAUGUCCAACAUUUUUCCCAGGUAAAAUCAGGUUUAAAUGAAUAUCAAGCAGUGACAGGAGAAACAGCUGCAGCCUGAGGAAUGUACAUAGCAGCAGAGACAUGAUGGAGAAGACGGCGGUGGUGGGAGAAGGUCAGUAGGAGGGACUCGAGGCAGGGCAGGAUUUAUGUGUCAGUCCCACCUUAUGGGAUGUGCCCAGAACGCCAGCUCCUAUCACUUGGUAAUACCUUUUCGAAUGCCGUGCUGAGGAAGGCUCUGAAGCCGCACUCUACUCUAUAGUCAAGAGUGACGGUGGUUGACUGGCAAUGCUUGUGGUUGGUGCAGCAAGAGGGACUUUUCUCCUCUGAAAUAAAUUAGUGUAUCUUUGCUAAAGGUGGAUGUGAAGAAAGUCAAUGACCAGAGGUCUGUUUGGAGGAGAAACAGCAGACCUGAAUUAUUCAACUUUCACCAUCACCCCUUGAUUCUGGAAGGAGGGUCCACCCACUUAGCAAUCAAGUCCAAAGUUCUCUGUCUGGCUUUCAGGAUUUACCUCAACCUGGCUCAGACAGCUUUAACUUCCACUCCUCAACACUCUCUGCUGUGGUUAGGCAUCUCACCUUCUUAGGCCUUGAAGGCAACACCCAACUGCCUGCUUUCCUGUCUUGAGUCCAAGGCCUCUCCUGUCUUUGCCUGCUGAAAUUACUUGUUGUAAAGGCCAAGCUUAGGACCACUUCCUUCCCCAGCUGUGGAAACAGCUCCACCCUUGGAGAUCUCUCUGCUUCCUCUGUGCAGCACUUUCCCCUCCAGUUCGCAUGUUUCUGGUGGGCACACGUCUUCCCUCACGGCUUCCUGUGUGUUAGGCCUGCCCUGCGGUAGACAGAGCUCUAGGCCACAGACAGUGUCUUGCCUUACCGAGCCCUGAGGACAGGGCCAGACAUGUGGGGUGUGCUGGUUUCCAGCUGUUGAGGUUCUAUUUUCUUUCAAAAGUUUGCAUGGGAGGUGCGACAUUCUCUUGGUUUCCUGCCCAAUACGCAUUCCCCUCUUCUGCCUUGGUCACAGAACCCAGUGUUAUUUCAGUAGCACUAAGCCCAGCUGAGAGGCUGUCUUUCCCAGUCCACCAUACAGCUGAAGGUAACAAUGACAGUCAAGCAAACAUUGCUGGAUGGGACUUCUGGCCAAGUUUCUUCAGAGGAGGACAGAGGUAGGUGUUUUGUAAAUAUUUUCUCCCAGUUUGUGGCCUGUCUUUUUACUCUCUUAACAAUAUCUUCC